CCUCCCCGGCCAGCCCUGGGCAGCCCAGGCCCAGGCGGGCAGCGGACAGUGACCUGGGAGCUCAGGCAGUGACCACAGUACAGCGAGGAACAGAGAGGUGCAGAGAGCUGAGGGGCCUUGCCCCGGGGGCAGCCCCUCGGGUUCAGGGGAGCCUGGGGGAGAAGAGGGUGGUGUCGGGGUCCCCAUCCCAUUCAGGUCGAGGACAAAGGGGAGACCAGAAGUCAGGAGGCAGAGGAGAAUGGGAUGGUCAGGGCAAACUUGGUGGGUCGCGAUCUGCCCGGCUAAGGAGGCAUCCACAUGUGCUGCAUCCACAGUAGUCACGCAAGAUCCUCCCACGGGGAGUCAGUGCCCGCUCGCCAGGAGAGGAGACUGAGGCUGUCGUUUCCCAGGACAGCAAAGGCAGGAGCUGACAGCAGGCUGUGUGUUUAGGGGCAAGGAACCCAGGAGGAUCAGGGCGCAGGUUUUCAACAGCAAUGAGCGCCAGGGCCACUCGGCCCCGGAGCCGGCGUGGCAGGCACGCUCCGCCUGUAAGUGUCCCUCUGCCUUGCACGCCGUGGCCUGAGGCCCUCAGGCCUGCCAGGCUCAGAGCUGGGCCGGGUCUUGUGCAGGGUGAAUUGGACCCUGUAGCCGAGAGUUCCGAGGAGGGCGAGGUGGCCAGCGGGAGCUCGGGGCCCGGCCCUGCACUGCCGGGGAGCUCAGGACCACAGCAGCUGGGGCCUGCAGCGGAGUCGGGCAGCCAGGGCCCUGGGAGCAGGGCCAGCAAAGAGGCCUCAGAGGAUGUGGAUGGAUCACUGGCCCCCACCCCAGAAGGGGCCCAGCUGCUCGCAGGGGACACCAUCCAGCACCCAGAGAUGGCAGCCCCACAGGCCGGGGGCACUUUCUCCCCUGCGUGUGGGGCUCCUGAUGUGUUCCAGACCCUCCAGAGUGCCCUGGCCUCCCUGGAGGCCGCAGCUGCUGCCUGGCGCCCACAGCUCCUGAGUGGCCCGGGGCCUGGGGAGGUGGCAGGCCGGGCAGAGGGAAUGCCAGGGCCCUGGCAGGAGGUGGCCUACCUGGCUGAGAAGAAUGCCUGGCUGCGGCUGGCCCUGGAUACCCGGGAGGACACGCUGGCACACAUGCGGGCAGAGAGCGACACGCUGAGACAGGAGGCCCAGGAGCUGCAGGAUUCCCUGAGGAGGCUGGAGUCCACCCCGGCUCCCUCCCGCAGCCACGCUAGCGGCCCAGGCAGCAACUGGAGCAGCUCUGCAGCGGCCAGGGAGUCUGGGGGGCCGCGGGUGAGUGUGACAGGUACCAACCCCUGGUCCCGACGGCCUCAGCACAUGAGACUCAGCUCCUGCUCAUGGGCCCAGUGGCUUCUGGGGUUGGAGAAAGCCCAAAGUCAGCCAAGCGUGGUGGCGCUUGCUUGGCAUCCCAGCUACUCAGAAGGCGGAGGCAGGGGCAUCACAAGUUUGACCUCAGUCUGGCCAAUUUAAGUGAGACCCUCAAAAUAAAAAUUAAAAAACAAGGUGGGCAUGGGGGCGCAUGUCCACAAUCCCAGAACUUGGGAGGCUGAGGCAGGAGGAUCACUGCAAGUUCGAGGCCAGCCUGGGUUAUCUAGUGACUUUAAGGUCAGUCUGAAUUGCACAGUGAGACCCUGUCUCAUAAAAAAAAGAAACUAAAAAAAAGCUGGGGACCCAGGGACAGUGGUCCACACCUGUCAUCCCAGCUCUCUGGGAGGCUGAGGCAGGAAGGUCUUAAGUUUGAGCUCAGCCUGACCAAUUAGCAUUUUAGCAAGACUCUGUGAAAAUAAAAAAAAAAAUGAACAAAGGCCCUAGGUUCAAUCUCCAUAACCACCAAAACCAAACAGUACAGAAAGCCCACCCCCACUCACAGUCCUGGGCUCCGGAUGAUAAUUUGGGUAAAUCGAGUCACCUCUCCCUGCAGGGCCCCUCCCCGGCUCACCCCCUGCUCCGGCGCCUCCGCAGCCACCCCAGCGCCCACACCCUCGGGCCUCGAGUCCUGGAGGGGCAGGAGGAGCAGCUCCGGGGGUGAGAGCCCCAGCGCCGCACUGACCGACCCUGGGCUGGGCGCGAGCGGGGGCGGAGCUGAGCGGUCCCUGUCCCCACAGGAGCGUGGAGAAGCUCAAGGGCCUCAACCGCCUGCUGCGGGGCUGGGCACUGAGGCCCGCUGUGCACAGCGAGGACUGCGAGGCGGCCUACGGGGCCCUGCUCACCCUGCGGGAGGCCAGCGCCACAGCCCCCAGCGGUGACCUGCAGGCAGCCCAGGAGGAGGCGGGGAGGCUGCUGGCCCGCGACGGGGCCGCUUCGGGCGGAGGGGCAGCGCAGCCCAGGUACCUGGGACCCCAGAGCUGUGCCAGCCAGGGGCGGGUCCUCAGGAGGGAGCUCAGCCCCACAGGCUCCUGCAGGCGGGGGGAGGUGGCGCUGCGUCCCCAGGGCGGCCUGGCACAGGGCGGGGCCAGAGGAGGCAUGAGGUUGGCAGCCCUUGGAGUGGGCGGGACCCGCAUGGCUGGCGUGCAGACAGGUGCUGGUGCCCACCCGUGAGAACCCCGUGAGGAGGCUGGCCAGGUGGUGCUGGUGCCCUCAGGCUGGCCGCUGUGAUGCCAGAAUCAGCCCCUGGAUGGCUGGCGGUGUGUCCACAGGGUAGUGUGAGCUGAAGCUGAGGUGCUGAGGCUGGUAGGAUGGCAUCUUCCGCUUUGGCCUGAGCAUGGUUUCACCACGAUGGCACAGUGGUGGAGCCAUGGACUGGCCCCUGAGACCCCGUGUCGCUGCGGUGUGUGGCCUGUCAGUGUGGCACAGGGUCCACCACAGGCCCCGCAGGGCCCACCCCAGCCAGCAGGAGGCAGACAGUUGGGGCGGGCUGGCACAGCUGUGCCCACAGCAUUCACGCAGCCCCUCCUGCCUCCCGAAGCCCUGCGGGCAGCAGUGUGGACGCACCCACUCCACAGGAAGUGGCCACCCAGCUCCUCGGCUACAUCCGGCACCUCCAGGAGCACCGUGCCCUGCUGAAGUUUCCCCCGGAGCCUGGCCCCACCUUGGCACCCAGGCCCACCACGCCCCACUUGGACACCCUGGUGCAGGCCGUUCUGGAGGCCCAGCCUGGCACAGCCCUGCCCCGGCUGGAGAAGACAAAGAUCCAGCAGGACCUGGUGGCCACACGGGUACACACGGGCUGAGGUCACCGUGUCACUCUUUGCUGGAGGGGCAAAACCCUUUGCUGAGGCUGAGAGGGAUGUUGUUGGAGGACCAAGGGCAAGAGGAGAACUGGAGUUGAGGUUUUGAGGGAUGCAUAGGAGUUUGUUCUGUGGGGUUCAGUUUCUCCCUGGACUCUGAAUCUGGCUUUUGGAAUGCCCUUCCUAUGAGAAGACAUGGGUCAGGAAAUAACCUGGGCCCAUAGGCCUGCAUGAAAGAUCUGAGAUUGUGGGGCUGGUGGUGUUACUCAGCAAUACAGUGUGUGUCUAGCAUGCAUGAAACCCUGAGUUCCAUCCUCAGCUCCCAAAUAAACACACACAAAAAAGCUCUGGAGUUAGAGAAAUUCCAGAAGCUUCCACUGAGCUGCUGCUCAACCUUGUUUAAGACAUUUGUCCUUUAGGAAGUGCAUUUUCAAGGCCAGGCAUUGUGACACACACCUGGGAUCCUAGCACUCGGGAGGCUGAGGCAGGAGGAUCACUGUGAGUUCAAGGUCAGCCUGGGCUACAUAGUGAGACCCUGUCUCAAACAAAACAAAACAGGGCUGGGGAUUUAGCUGAGUGGUGUCGCCGCCUGGCUCCCAAGCAGAAGGUCCUGAGUUCGAUCCCCAGUACCAAAAAACAAAACAAAACAAACAACCAAAAAGGAAAUGUAUUUCCACAGCUGUAGACCUUUAGGGAAGAAGGCAUCUGCCAAGGUCACGGGGAAGGUCUGGGUUUCUGCCUGGCAUAGCCUGGUGCCUGCAGCCUCAGUUUCCCCAGCAGUUGCCUCCUCUGCCACUCCUCCCCUCAGGAGACUCUGGCUGACCUGGUGCUGCAGCUGCAGCUGGCGCGGCGGGAGAAGCGGGCCCUGGAGCUACGGGAGGCGGCCCUGCGGGCCCAGGCGCCCGCGCUGCUGCUGCUGCUGGGUCAGCUGCGCUGGGAGCGGGCACAGCUCGGGCCCGAGGACAGCAGCAGCGGGGACAGCAGCGCGGGCGACAGCAGUGAGGACGAGGAGGCGUGGCCCCAGGUGAGCCCGCGGGAGGGCGAGGGGCAGCGUUGGCGGCGGCGGGACCCUCUUAGCUUGUUUCUGCUUCCGCGGAGAGAAGCAUGCCGAAUACGGGCGUCGAGGUGCACGCCUGCCAUCCCAGCUACUCCGGAGGCUGAGGCAGGAGGAGCACAAGUUGGAGCCCAGCUUGGAGAAUUUAGGGAGAUCCUGUGUCUUAGUCACUUUCCUUGCUGUAGAGACACAGACACAAGACCUGACCCCGCUCCUUACAGGAGGAGAGGUUGAUUAUGGUCACAUUUUCGGGUCUUGGUCAGCUGGCUUCAGCCAGGAAGGCGCAGAGAAAGGGCCGGCGGAGGGAGGCUGCUGGCAUCAGGGCGCUCAGCAGUAGCGCGAGAAGCGAAGAGGCUGAGAGAGCUGGAAACCCUUCCAGGCCACGCCCG
rnacentral:lncRNA from 1 species